AUAGUAAAUAAUUUAGUAGGAAAACAGCGCGAAAUUUGUUGGCUAUACCUGCAACCGUUAAAGUCGGAGAGCCACCCAGUAUAGCCCAGUGUUGAAUGAAGGCCAGGAAAAGUCUAGCUCUGCAACUAAUUU
rnacentral:ncRNA from 1 species